GCCCAGACUCCUACGGGAGGCAGCAGUGGGGAAUAUUGCACAAUGGGGGGAACCCUGAUGCAGCGACGCCGCGUGAGUGAAGAAGUAUUUCGGUAUGUAAAGCUCUGUCAGCAGGGAAGAAAUUGACGGUACCUGAGUAAGAAGCUCCGGCUAAAUACGUGCCAGCAGCCGCGGUAAUACGUAUGGAGCAAGCGUUAUCCGGAUUUACUGGGUGUAAAGGGAGCGUAGGCGGCCUGCCAAGUCUGAUGUGAAAUACCGGGGCUCAACCCCGGGGCUGCAUUGGAAACUGUCAGGCUGGAGUGCAGGAGAGGUAAGUGGAAUUCCUAGUGUAGCGGUGAAAUGCGUAGAUAUUAGGAGGAACACCAGUGGCGAAGGCGGCGUACUGGACGGUAACUGACGUUGAGGCUCGAAAGCGUGGGGAGCAAACAGGAUUAGAUACCCCCGUAUAA
rnacentral:rRNA from 1 species